rnacentral:rRNA from 1 species
GAGUUUGAUCGUGGCUCAGGAUGAACGCUGGCGGCGUGCCUAAUACAUGCAAGUCGAGCGAACAGACGAGGAGCUUGCUCCUCUGACGUUUGCGGCGGACGGGUGAGUAACACGUGGAUAACCUACCUAUAAGACUGGGAUAACUUCGGGAAACCGGAGCUAAUACCGGAUAAUAUAUUGAACCGCAUGGUUCAAUAGUGAAAGACGGUUUUGCUGUCACUUAUAGAUGGAUCCGCGCCGCAUUAGCUAGUUGGUAAGGUAACGGCUUACCAAGGCAACGAUGCGUAGCCGACCUGAGAGGGUGAUCGGCCACACUGGAACUGAGACACGGUCCAGACUCCUACGGGAGGCAGCAGUAGGGAAUCUUCCGCAAUGGGCGAAAGCCUGACGGAGCAACGCCGCGUGAGUGAUGAAGGUCUUCGGAUCGUAAAACUCUGUUAUUAGGGAAGAACAAAUGUGUAAGUAACUAUGCACGUCUUGACGGUACCUAAUCAGAAAGCCACGGCUAACUACGUG